UGCAAGUCGAGCGGGGCGAUGUAGCUUGCUACAUUACCUAGCGGCGGACGGGUGAGUAAUGCUUAGGAAUCUGCCUAUUAGUGGGGGACAACAUUCCGAAAGGAAUGCUAAUACCGCAUACGCCCUACGGGGGAAAGCAGGGGAUCUUCGGACCUUGCGCUAAUAGAUGAGCCUAAGUCAGAUUAGCUAGUUGGUGGGGUAAAGGCCUACCAAGGCGACGAUCUGUAGCGGGUCUGAGAGGAUGACCCGCCACACUGGGACUGAGACACGGCCCAGACUCCUACGGGAGGCAGCAGUGGGGAAUAUUGGACAAUGGGCGAAAGCCUGAUCCAGCCAUGCCGCGUGUGUGAAGAAGGCCUUUUGGUUGUAAGGCACUUUAAGCGAGGAGGAGGCUACUUGGAUUAAUACUCUAGGAUAGUGGACGUUACUCGCAGAAUAAGCACCGGCUAACUCUGUGCCAGCAGCCGCGGUAAUACAGAGGGUGCGAGCGUUAAUCGGAUUUACUGGGCGUAAAGCGUGCGUAGGCGGCUUUUUAAGUCGGAUGUGAAAUCCCUGAGCUUAACUUAGGAAUUGCAUUCGAUACUGGGAAGCUAGAGUAUGGGAGAGGAUGGUAGAAUUCCAGGUGUAGCGGUGAAAUGCGUAGAGAUCUGGAGGAAUACCGAUGGCGAAGGCAGCCAUCUGGCCUAAUACUGACGCUGAGGUACGAAAGCAUGGGG
rnacentral:rRNA from 1 species